rnacentral:lncRNA from 1 species
GAGAGAAUUCCUCUGGCUAAUGAUGUGCAAACUGGAACAUAAGCUCCUUCUUGACUUCAGGCUCAGACUAAAACAUUGGCUCCUCCUGAUUUUGAGCCUGCUGGUCUUUGGACUGGGACCGUAGCAUGGACUAUCCUGAAUCUUCAGAAGCCUGACAACUCAGCCAGCAGAUCUUGUGACUUAUCAGCCUCAUCAUCAUGUGAGCAAACUCCCGACACCAAAGCUAUUCCUGUAGACAUUCUGUUGGUUGUGUGUCUCUGAAGAUCUCUAACACCCUCCCACACAGAACUGAGACACAUCCUUGCAGUAGUAUCCUACCUUUGGUUUCUGACCCUGGGGUGACAGGCUCUCAGCCAUCCCAGCUAAACAAAAAUCAUAACUUCCAUGCCCAGGACCCACCUCAAACUCUGCAGGAACCAGGCAAUGGCAGACAGGAAGGGAGAGGGGCACCAAAAGGCAUCCUCUGAGAGUGGCUGGCCCUGGGAUUUCUGUCCCUUCUCAGGGUCUAACAGGACAUUCAAGAGGCUUAGGCCUCUUGUGAAACAGAAAGGACCUUUGGAGAAGAUAUGGGUAGCACUUAUGCCCACAAGAAAUGUAACAAAAAGGUCAGCAAAGCCAGGCCAAAACACAUGGGAAAGUUACAUGGCCGAUGACCUAGACAAUGCCCCUGGAAUCUGGCUGAGAUGGAACAAGUUUCCCAAGGAAGCCCUGGGCAGAGUGGUUGGCCAUAAGAAGCUGAUUACUUCCCCUGCGGAGACCUGGGGAAGGUAUGGACAUGUUGGUCUGUGGUUCCACAUGGAGGCUUGUGGGUCCAGAGCUCAGAGGAGGCCAGGCUGCAGACAGGUGGUGACCAGAACGGUGAGAGUGGAUGAGGUCACCAAGAGGGGUUUAUGAGAAAGAAUGUAGGGCAGAAGCCUGGAGAACACUAGAGUGGAGGUGAACCGAGGUUCAAGAAUGGUCAAAAGACGGUUCGUCAUAGGAAAACCAAGAGAAAGUAGAGUCAUGGAAGCCAAGACAGGAAGGAAAGCCGAGAAGGAAGACGUGAGGAAGAGUGGCAAGAUUAUACAGAGUUCGACUAAGACUGACCUUCAGACUGAAACACAUCUGUCGCAUUUAACAAAAAAGGCAUCCGUUACCUUAACAAAAUGGGUCCAGUGUUUGGCUAUGACUUGAGGAGUGUACCAGGGGUGGGGAGGUAGAGACA